UAGUCACAACCAAAAGCUUCUAGCAAAAUAUUUACGAGGCAAAAUAAUAUAUAGCAUCUUUACAAGUCAAUUCCAAUUCCAACUAUAAAAACACAGUCUAAACUAUAAUGGAAUCCAAAAUAAAAAGCCCAGCCAAGUUCCAAAAUUUUGAUAAGACUAGUUUCAUUACAUAUUUCUCCUUAGUCACAGGAUGGAUCCAGCCUUUUGUAUCCCUGUAAUGUAUGUGCUUCCAUAGCUUAAUUCACAAAAAUGUAUUGGAAUAUGAAGCUCCUAUUGUAAGCAACCAAGAUCAGAAUACUGGCAACUUAGAUCAUUAAGGAUACGCGUACAUGUCAAUGAAACAUUCAAUAUAUGGAAGAGUGACUUUCCAAUCUGUAGUCGAUAGAAAAUGAAGUGAGUGACAUUUCAUUUUGAUUUUUCAUAAGAACCAUGUAAUGUAGUCAUGUUUCAAAAAAUUAUACACUGAGAAAUUAGUAGUUAGAUGACCUCUAACGAACAUUGACAACAUCUGUAUUUUUCUUUCUAAUAACUAAGAAGAAGAAAAUAGCUGUACAAACUCAACUUUCUCACUCUUUGCUUCACUUCCUUUGAGAUGUCAAAGUAAUGUAUUGUGAUUAUCUUUUCAAUUUCAUGGAAGCUGGGAAGAGAAAGACAUUCACCAAAGUAGAUACAAGGUAGACCCAGAAGUGGAAGGCAGAUAAGAAAGUUCUAAACAAACUCAGGAGGCCUCCGAGUACCUUUUUGGUAUUCCUGGACUUAAUACAAUUCCCUCUGGUCUUGGAAGUUCGAGGUCAUGGCUGAGGCAAUAACAUUAUGUUUAAUUCAAUAAUUUAUAUUAAAAUACUAACUUCUAAUGAUUUAGAGAUUCCUUUUUGAUACUUGGUAUACUGCUACUUAACUAAUAUGGAUGAAAGAAAGCAAGAGGGUCCGUUAUAUAUAUAUAUACCAACUUUGAUAUAGACUGGCCUCUGAAAAUUUCUUAAUUCCUAACAUGUAGAGAGAAUAUAACCUAUUAAUGUUUGUUAUAUUUUAAUCUUUAGCAUUGACAUGCUUCAAACCUUUGCUUCUUCCUUCAGCAAUGUUACAAAAAUAUGACGUUAAUAAAAAAACAGAAUUAAGAACUAGCCAAUAAUCAUAGAAAUACCUAUCUUUGUUGGCACAUUGACUGGUGCAGGCUGGCCCAUUCAUAGGUCUUGGGAUGGUAGCUUCUUUUCUGGUGGCAAUGGAAUAACCUACUGUAAGGUGAUGGUAUUGAUCACCAAAGAUAACCCAGGCUCAGUUUAUACCCACUUCCAACACCACAAAGCCGACAACUACGAACCAAGACAAUACCAAGCUCCACUUCCGAUUGCCAAUGAGAUAUUCCACUAUUGAGACCACAAAGGUAGAAGAAAUCUCAUUUAAUAUCACCACUUAGAUGGUAUCCACAAAGAGGCAGAAGAGUAGAAGAGAAAUCAUAGAAAACCAGCCAAGAGAGAGCGAGGGGUGAGACAUCUCUCACUUAGUGAGAAAAGAAGCCAAUUUAACCGUUUUACCAAUAGCCCAAAUAAGGUAAGUUUAAGUAGGUUAACUAAUGGGUUAGGCCAAAGGCCCAAAAGAUAGUUAAGUGGGCUCACAAGCUUUUCUCUCAAUUAAAUGCCAUCCAAGGGAGUGGAUUGAGCCACGAGCAACACUAAAGUAUUUAGGUUGCUUCGAGUGGCCCAAUUAACCUUUGGGUUGUAUCGUCUUGAAUGUGGUAUUGGAUUCCCGUUCAGUCAUUUGGCUAAACCGACUGAAAAAUUAAACCGAGUAACAUCAUAGCCCGAGGGAGGUCGUUUGACAACAAAUUUGUCUAACAACCUCCACCUUGGUGUCAAAGGACCUGCAAAAAGAAAACGCCUUCCAUUAGUAACACCUCUAAUAGAAAAUCGAUAAAAUUGGAAAUCAUUUACAUGUACCAAUGUUUAGAAGAUCCUUGCAACUUCUAAAUUUUACCAGUGGCAGCACCUUCGUGCUCAUAUCUAAAGGAUUGUAUUGUGUGUGAACUUUUUCAAGUUUCACCACCUCUUGAGAUACUAUAUCUCUAAUAAAGUGUAGUCUAACAUCAAUGUGUUUAGUGCGUUCGUGAAAAACAGGGUUCUUACAUAAAUGUAUGGAUGACUGACUAUCAAAAUACACAACCACACUCAUUCAAGACACAUAGUUCAUGAAGUAAACCUCUAAACCAUAAGGCCUCUUUAAUUGCUUCACUAGUAGCAAUAUACUCAGAUUCAGUGGUAGAUAGUGCAACAAUGUGUAGUAACUGUGAUUUUCAACUAACACAUGAAUUUGAUAAGGUAAACAUGUAAGAGGAAGUCGAUUUCCUACCAUCCCUAUCUCCCGCAUAAUCAGCAUCUACAAAAUCCUUCAAUUUCACACCUUUCUUAUUAACACUGAACUUUAAACCUACGUCACCCGUACCUUUCAAGUACCUUAGUAUUGACCUAUCUCUUUUUAUUUCCAUACCUAGAAUUCUCUUAGCCUUACCUAGGUCUUUCAUGUCAAAUUCACCACUUAGUUUUGCUUUUAUGCUGUUUAUCCACUUAGAAGAAUAACCAAUCAAAAACAUGUCGUCCACAUAGAGCAACAAAAAUAGAUAAUUAUUAUCAGUCUCGUUAUGUUGAAAAUAUAGGCAAUGAUCAAAUUUAUUUCUUUAGAACCCUAUGGUGAGUACAAAGGAAUCAAACAUCUUGUACUACUAUCUAGGUAAUUGUUUUAAGCCAUAUGGGGACCUUUUCAGAAAACACGCGUAAUCAAGUUUUGAUUUAUCCUUAAAACCUUUUGGUUGAUUCAUGAAUAUUUGUUCAUCAAACUCACCUGUAAAAAAGCAAUUUUUACAUCAAGUUGUUCAAGUUCCUAGUUAAAAUGCGCAACCAAAGCAAACAUGGCCCUAAUAGUGGUAUACUUAAUAACUCGUGAAAAAAUCUCAUUAUAAUCAACGCCAUCCUUUUAUGUGUAACCCUUAGCUACUAACCUAACUUUAAACUUUAAGGGUUCCGAACUACUAGUACCUUCCUUAAUCUUAAAAACUCAUUUGCAAUCGACGAUCGAUUUGUUUUUAGGUCUAGGUACCAGUUCCCAAGUCUGAUUCUUUUCUAGAGAACUCAUCUCUUCUUUCAUCGCCUUAAACCACUCCUUAGAUUGAUCACUACCUAUCAUUUCUUCAAAGGUUUUUGGCUCUUUAUCAGCUAGUUUUUCAUAACUAGCAUGGACAAAAGUUAUUUCAGAUUCAAAACCGAACCUUCUAGGUUCUCUCGUCUGUCUCCUCUCUCUAUCUCUAGCUAGAUUAUAAUUAGCUAAUGAAUUUUCUUCCUUAGGGUGUUCUUCUAUCACUACUUCGUUACUAUUUUCCACUUCAGGUUCCUGAACUUGAAUCUCCACCCCAUUAGAAGCAGUAGGGGUAGAUGUACUAAGUUUUCCUAACUCCACCUUAAAUUAGUCUCUCUCUUCACCUAGUUCAGUUUCACUCUCAGAUUCGGUUUCCCCUUUAAUACACGGCAUCUCAUUCUCGUUAAACGUGACAUCUCUACUUAUGAUAAUCCUAACCCCUUUUUGGCUUCUAUCCCAUAACCUAUAACCCUUAAUACCCUCGGGG
rnacentral:lncRNA from 1 species